UACGAAGGGGGCUAGCGUUGUUCGGAAUUACUGGGCGUAAAGCGCACGUAGGCGGACUUUUAAGUCAGGGGUGAAAUCCCGGGGCUCAACCUCGGAACUGCCUUUGAUACUGAGAGUCUCGAGACCGGAAGAGGUGAGUGGAAUUCCUAGUGUAGAGGUGAAAUUCGUAGAUAUUAGGAAGAACACCAGUGGCGAAGGCGGCUCACUGGUCCGGUUCUGACGCUGAGGUGCGAAAGCGUGGGGAGCAAACAGG
rnacentral:rRNA from 1 species